CGUAGGUGAACCUGCGGAAGAAUCAUUG
rnacentral:rRNA from 1 species